ACUCGAGUCACGGUGCAUUCACCGCUCUGAGGAGAGGCCGCCCGGCGCUGCCCUUCUCAGGCACGGCGCACGUUUCUGAAGCACUCAGCUUCGCUUCUUCCUAAUUUUCGAAUCACUUUGUGAUUAAAAGCGAAGAAAGGGAAAUAAUCCCGUCAGAAUAAGACAGCUCAGAGUGGACUCGUCCUCCAAACUAUCGAUUAGGGAAUGACCGGGCAGCCACUGCCCCGGGCGCCAUCUUGUUGGGCAGGCGAGCGUGUUGGAGAGUCCACGCUACAGACAAUCUCUUCCCAGGGGCUGGAGGCACCUUUGGGAGAAGAAAGGCAGAUGAAAAAGAGAACAUGAUCUGAGCACUGAAAAGACGAGAGGCACACAAAAAAUGUGAACUGCUGAAUUUACUGUCUAGCUAUAAUGAGCACAGAGGGAAGAGCCUUGGGCUUUGCAAGAGCAUGCACUGGGCACACUGGGAAGAGCUGAGGACAAAUAUACUAAAUACA